rnacentral:rRNA from 1 species
AGAACGAACGCUGGCGGCAGGCUUAACACAUGCAAGUCGAACGCUCGUAGCAAUACGGGAUUGGCAGACGGGUGAGUAACACGUGGGAACGUACCCUUCGGUUCGGGAUAACACAGGGAAACUUGUGCUAAUACCGGAUACGUCCGAGAGGAGAAAGGUUUACCGCCGAAGGAUCGGCCCGCGUCUGAUUAGCUAGUUGGUGAGGUAACGGCUCACCAAGGCGACGAUCAGUAGCUGGUCUGAGAGGAUGAUCAGCCACAUUGGGACUGAGACACGGCCCAAACUCCUACGGGAGGCAGCAGUGGGGAAUAUUGGACAAUGGGCGCAAGCCUGAUCCAGCCAUGCCGCGUGAGUGAUGACGGCCUUAGGGUUGUAAAGCUCUUUUACCUGGGAAGAUAAUGACGGUACCAGGAGAAUAAGCCCCGGCUAACUUCGUGCCAGCAGCCGC